CAGUAAGAGAAAAUAGACUGUUUAGAC
rnacentral:piRNA from 1 species